GGCCGCGGGAAUUCGAUUCAGGCCUAACACAUGCAAGUCGAACGAUGAAACUCUAGCUUGCUAGAGAUGAUUAGUGGCGGACGGGUGAGUAACAUUUAGGAAUCUGCCUAGUAGUGGGGGAUAGCUCGGGGAAACUCGAAUUAAUACCGCAUACGACCUACGGGUGAAAGGGGGCGCAAGCUCUUGCUAUUAGAUGAGCCUAAAUCAGAUUAGCUAGUUGGUGGGGUAAAGGCCUACCAAGGCGACGAUCUGUAACUGGUCUGAGAGGAUGAUCAGUCACACCGGAACUGAGACACGGUCCGGACUCCUACGGGAGGCAGCAGUGGGGAAUAUUGGACAAUGGGGGCAACCCUGAUCCAGCCAGGCCGCGUGUGUGAAGAAGGCCUUUUGGUUGUAAAGCACUGGAGAGCAGGGAGGAGAGGCUAAUGGUUAAUACCCAUUAGAUUAGACGUUACCUGCAG
rnacentral:rRNA from 1 species